rnacentral:rRNA from 1 species
UACAGAGGGGGCAAGCGUUAUUCGGAAUUAUUGGGCGUAAAGGGCGCGUAGGCGGCCUGGCAAGUGGAAGGUGAAAUCCCUCGGCUUAACCGAGGAACUGCCCUCCAAACUGCUUGGCUUGAGUCCGGGAGAGGUGAGUGGAACUGCGAGUGUAGAGGUGAAAUUCGUAGAUAUUCGCAAGAACACCAGUGGCGAAGGCGGCUCACUGGCCCGGUACUGACGCUGAGGUGCGAAAGCGUGGGGAGCGAACAGG